ACUGGUUUGUACUUCUAGUACAAUGUAGAAUUACAGUAGUAAGAACAGAUCUCGUUGCUUUGUACCUAAUCACAGGGGGGAAUCAUUCACUCUUCCACUGGUAAUUAUAAUGUUAACUGUAGGAUUUUUUUUUUUUUGUAGAUGUUCUUUAUAGGGCUUAGGAAUUUUUCCUCUAUUUCUACAUUGCUGAAAAUAUUUAUCAUGGGUGGAUUUUACAUUUUGUUAGAUGCAUCCAGCAUCUACUUAGAUGAUAGUGGUUUUUUGUUCUCCUUUAUCUUGUUAAUGUGAUGUCUUAUAUUGAUGAAUUUUCCAAUUCUAACCCAACUUUUACUUUCAUAGGGUUUCAGGGACUCUUCACAUGGUCUCUCCCUCAAGAUAGUUGGACUUCUUACAUGGUACCUCAGGACUCCCAAGAAUGAGCGUUCAAAGGGUCUUGGGCCAAAGCUGCAAGCCUUCUUUCAUCUAGCCUUAGAAGUCUUAGAAUGUUAGUUCAGCCACCUUCUAUUCACUAAGCUAAUCACUAAGGCCAACCCAGACUCAAAGGAAAGGUCAGAAGUGAUGGUGCAGCCAUAAAGAUGGAGAAUUUUCAACCUAAAAAAAGGAAAAGACAAGACCCCAGAUUAUGUGGAGUGAAUAAGUGGAGCCUAUAUCCUAAGCAUGGUGUGGAAGCAGCAGCUGCUGCCCUGAGAGACCAGACACCUUAUCUGAGGACUCCACGCACCCCUGCUUGGUGAGCCUUCAUGUUACAGAAAGCAAACCUCAUCCAGCCCUAUCCUCAAAAUACUGUCUGGGGAAUUGCGUGUUUAUGGACUAAACCUGGAUAGUACACAUGAUAAAAGAACACAGUCCCUGGAUGCAAAAUGAAUAAGUAAGAUAUACCUCACAGAAGCACACCUAUUGCAAAUCUGGAGCCUCAUGUUUAAUUGCCUUGAACUUGAACAGUGACAGAGCAAGAAAGGUAAAACACCAUAGAGGUUGCAGAAUAUCCUGCUUGAAGAGGAAGAAGAAGGGGAAGAUGUCAGCCAAGGGGACAUUUCUGCUGUGCCUUGAAGGACGGACUGAAUUUUUCCAGGUAGAGAUGGGACUGGUAGUGUGGAUCUGGAACAGCAUGAAAAAACACACACGGGUAAGAAAGGACACAGCACAUGCAGAGAAAAUGAGACACCUGGUACAUGAAAGGAAACAGCACCCAGAAAUUAAGCAUUAACUUAUUUACUGGAGAGCAAUUGAGUUACACUAAUCAGUUACUUUCUUAGAGUUUCCUGCAUGGAGGGAUGAGAAAAACCAGGGCUCAGAGUGGCAUGGAUGCAAAUCCUAGCCUACAUGUAUAAAUCACUCAUUCAAUUAUGCACUUUUUUUUUUAAGUUUUCUUUUUAAAUUUUUUUUUUUUAAAUCCAAGUUAGUUAACAUAUAGUGUAAUAAU